rnacentral:rRNA from 1 species
GAUGAACGCUGGCGGCGUGCCUAAUACAUGCAAGUCGAGCGAACAGACGAGGAGCUUGCUCCUCUGACGUUAGCGGCGGACGGGUGAGUAACACGUGGAUAACCUACCUAUAAGACUGGGAUAACUUCGGGAAACCGGAGCUAAUACCGGAUAAUAUAUUGAACCGCAUGGUUCAAUAGUGAAAGACGGUUUUGCUGUCACUUAUAGAUGGAUCCGCGCCGCAUUAGCUAGUUGGUAAGGUAACGGCUUACCAAGGCGACGAUGCGUAGCCGACCUGAGAGGGUGAUCGGCCACACUGGAACUGAGACACGGUCCAGACUCCUACGGGAGGCAGCAGUAGGGAAUCUUCCGCAAUGGGCGAAAGCCUGACGGAGCAACGCCGCGUGAGUGAUGAAGGUCUUCGGAUCGUAAAACGCUGUUAUUAGGGAAGAACAAAUGUGUAAGUAACUAUGCACGUCUUGACGGUACCGAAUCAGAAAGCCACGGCUAACUACGU